rnacentral:ncRNA from 1 species
UAUAUAGAGGCGCGAAAUCUAUGAUUAGGCUUUCGGAGGCAUUUGGGUGCCUUAGAGGGAAGCGGAAAGGAGCUUUCGCCGAAAUGGACAGCCAUCCCAAGCGGCGGUCUGUUGGGAGUAAGGAUAAUAUCCUUGCUACUGUCGCAAUAUAUUUGCGGAGUGCUAUA